GCAAGUCGAACGAUAAGCUAUCUUCGGAUAGUGGACAGUGGCGGACGGGUGAGUAACACGUGGGAACAUACCUUUUGGUACGGAACAACCAUUGGAAACGAUGGCUAAUACCGUAUAAGCCCCCAGAUUAAUUUUUGGGAGGGAAAGAUUUAUCGCCGAAAGAUUGGCCCGCGCUAGAUUAGUUAGUUGGUGAGGUAAAAGCUCACCAAGGCGACGAUCUAUAGCUGGUUUGAGAGGAUGAUC
rnacentral:rRNA from 1 species